rnacentral:rRNA from 1 species
AUUGAACGCUAGCGGGAUGCUUUACACAUGCAAGUCGAACGGGUGGCGGACGGGUGAGUAAUAUAUCGGAACGUGCCCAGUAGCGGGGGAUAACUAACCGAAACAGUGGCUAAUACCGCCUACAUGUGGCGCGGCCGAUGUCGGAUUAGCUAGUUGGGGGGGAAAAGGCUCACAAAGGCCACGAACCGUAGCUGGUUUGAGAGGACGACCAGCCACACUGGGACUGAGACACGGCCCAGACUCCUACGGGAGGCAGCAGUGGGGAAUUUUGGACAAUGGGGGAAACCCUGAUCCAGCCAUCCCGCGUGUAUGAGAAGGCCUUCGGGUUGUAAAGUACUUUUGGCAGAGAAGCGGUAUCUGCAGAAUAAGCACCGGCUAACUACGUGCCAGCAGCCGCGGUAAUUC